rnacentral:rRNA from 1 species
AGUGAACGCUGGCGGUAGGCCUAACACAUGCAAGUCGAACGGCAGCACAGUAAGAGCUUGCUCUUACGGGUGGCGAGUGGCGGACGGGUGAGGAAUACAUCGGAAUCUACUUUUUCGUGGGGGAUAACGUAGGGAAACUUACGCUAAUACCGCAUACGACCUACGGGUGAAAGCAGGGGAUCUUCGGACCUUGCGCGAUUGAAUGAGCCGAUGUCGGAUUAGCUAGUUGGCGGGGUAAAGGCCCACCAAGGCGACGAUCCGUAGCUGGUCUGAGAGGAUGAUCAGCCACACUGGAACUGAGGCACGGUCCAGACUCCUACGGGAGGCAGCAGUGGGGAAUAUUGGACAAUGAGCGCAAGCCUGAUCCAGCCAUACCGCGUGGGUGAAGAAGGCCUUCGGGUUGUAAAGCCCUUUUGUUGGGAAAGAAAAGCAGCAGGUUAAUACCCCGCUGUUCUGACGGUACCCAAAGAAUAAGCACCGGCUAACUUCGUG